GAAUUCAUGAAUCAUCAGCCACGAGGACAAGGCUGAUUUGAAGAGGGCGGGUCUGUUAGGACUCUAGCUUGGAGAGUCCUAAUUGAGAGGGACAUUCAUGUAAAACUGUUAGGACUCUAGCUAAGAGAGUCCUAAUUGAGAGGGACAUUCUAUUAGGACUCUAGCUAGGAGAGUCCUAAUUGAGAGGGGCAUUCAUGUAGGAGGUUUUUUCUUAUAGAAGAAUUAGGAGUUGUAAGGGAAUAGGAGUCUUGAGUAGGAGUCAUAUUAGGAGUUGGUUAGAAGUAAGAGUCUUAAGUAGGAGUCCUAUUAGGAGUUAGGGUUUAGAAGCCCUAUAAAUAGUCAUGUAUUCCUUCUCUUUU
rnacentral:lncRNA from 1 species